rnacentral:misc_RNA from 1 species
GGCUGUGAGGCUUCGUCGUAGAUCUCCUGUAAAAUGUUCCUAAAUGCUGUCCAUCCUUCGACACCGGAGCUUCCUGCGGGAACAAUGAUUGUGCUGCGGCUUCUGCUGGCAGAAGCUUCUGACACCUUCAAGAAUCUCCCUCGCUUAUUCUCCCCGAUAUCGAAGUAGUACACCUUAGCAUCGAACUUGAGCUCCUUGCUGCAGAUCUCGCGC